rnacentral:rRNA from 1 species
AUGACAACCACCCCGGUCUCGCUCGCCCCAAUCAAGAUCUUUCACCAGCAGCAGCAGCACGCCCCCAAGCCCAGAGAAAAACUACCACUACUGGAGUACUGGUACUGCUACCUCAGGACUGCAUUAUUUGCUCCACGUUGCCUCUGCGUCACCCUCCUCCACGGAUCAAAUCAAAUCAAACCCCUUUGGGACGGGACGGCGGAGGGAGGGAGGGAGGGAAGGAGGGGGAGAACCUAUACCACAUCAAGUCAGCUGCUUUUCCUUUUCCUGUGGGGGAGGAGGACCCCUUUUUACCCGUCUACUAGAGGGGAAAGAACUGCUCAUGCCACCCCUAGGUGUACUGUGGUACUGUGUGCAAUGGAAAGGGAGAUCAAGAAUCUUACUGGUGCCUCCUUUUUGCUCAAGAAUCUUUGUCUCCUUGGCCUUGGUGUAUCCCUCCCUCUGCCUGGCAGGCACUUGGGAGAGAGGAUGAGGGAGGGCCUCAGAAAAUCAGCAGAGGAGGGCAACCAGAUAAGGAAGACAAGACUCACAAUAACCCAGUGCACACCACACACACAAAUGAGCUAG